rnacentral:rRNA from 1 species
UACGUAGGGGGCAAGCGUUGUCCGGAUUCAUUGGGCGUAAAGGGUGCGUAGGCGGCGCGGUAAGUCGGGUGUGAAAUUUCGGAGCUUAACUCCGAAACUGCAUUCGAUACUGCGGUGCUUGAGGACUGGAGAGGAGACUGGAAUUCAUGGUGUAGCAGUGAAAUGCGUAGAGAUCAUGAGGAAGACCAGUGGCGAAGGCGGGUCUCUGGACAGUUCCUGACACUGAGACACGAAGGCCAGGGGAGCAAACGGG